rnacentral:rRNA from 1 species
GCANGUUGAACGGANAGUAACUAGUUUACUAAUUGCUCUUAGUGGCGGACGGGUGAGUAACACGUGAACUACCUACCAUAAAGUGGAGGACAGUCCUGGGAAACUGGGUUUAAUACUCCAUGUGCUUAUAAGUAAAGGUGCCUUCGGGUGUCGCUUUAUGAUGGGUUCGCGGUCUAUCAGCUAGUUGGUGAGGUAAUGGCUCACCAAGGCGACGACGGAUAGCUGGUCUUAGAGGAUGAUCAGUCACACUGGAACUGAGACACGGUCCAGACACCUACGGGUGGCAGCAGUCGAGAAUAAUUCACAAUGGACGAAAGUCUGAUGGUGCAACGCCGCGUGGAGGAUGACGGUUUUCGGAUUAUAAACUCCUGUCAUUGUAGAGUAAGACUUAGUCGUUAAUAGCUUCUAAGUUUGAGAGUAUACAAAGAGGAAGGGACGGCUAACUUCGCGCCAGCAGCCGCGGUAAUACGAAGGUCCCAAGCGUUAUUCGGAAUCACUGGGCGUAAAGGGAGCGUAGGCGGCGUGGAAAGUCAGAUGUGAAAUCCCGGGGCUCAACCCUGGAACUGCAUCCGAUACUCCCAUGCUAGAGGACUGGAGAGGUGUUUGGAAUUAUCGGUGUAGCAGUGAAAUGCGUAGAUAUCGAUAGGAAGACCAAUGGCGAANGCAGAACACUGGACAGUUCCUGACGCUGANGCUCGAANGCUAGGGGAGCGAAAGGGAUUAGAUACCCCUGUAGUCCUAGCAGUAAACGGUGUGCGCUUGGUGUGGGAGGAAUCGACCCCUUCUGUGCCGGANCUAACGUGUUAAGCGCACCGCCUGGGAAGUACGGCCGCANGGUU